rnacentral:rRNA from 1 species
AGGACGAACGCUGGCGGCGUGCUUAACACGUGCAAGUCGAGCGGAAAGGCCCUUCGGGGUACUCGAGCGGCGAACGGGUGAGUAACACGUGAGUAAUCUGCCCAUCGCUUCAGGAUAGCCAUCGGAAACGGUGAUUAAUACUGGAUAUGACAUUCCUUCGCAUGUUGGGGUGUGGAAAGUUUUUUCGGCGGUGGAUGUGCUCGCGGCCUAUCAGCUUGUUGGUGGGGUAAUGGCCUACCAAGGCUUUGACGGGUAGCCGGCCUGAGAGGGUGACCGGCCACACUGGGACUGAGACACGGCCCAGACUCCUACGGGAGGCAGCAGUGGGAAUAGUUGGACAAUGGGCGGAAGUCUGAUCCAGCAACGCCGCGUGAGGGAUGACGGCCUUCGGGUUCGUAAACUCUUUCAGCACAGACGUAAGUUUGUCUUUUUUGGUGUAAGUGACGUAUGUGCGAGAAGAAGGACCGGACAACUACGUGACCAGCAGCCGACGGUAAUCUGAGCGGU